rnacentral:rRNA from 1 species
UACAGAGGGGGCAAGCGUUAUUCGGAAUUAUUGGGCGUAAAGGGCGCGUAGGCGGCUUGGCAAGUGGAUGGUGAAAUCCCUCGGCUUAACCGAGGAACUGCCGUCCAAACUGCUUAGCUUGAGACCGGGAGAGGUGAGUGGAAUUCCCAGUGUAGCGGUGAAAUGCGUAGAUAUUGGGAGGAACACCAGUGGCGAAGGCGGGUCUCUGGGCCGAUACUGACGCUGAGGAGCGAAAGCAUGGGUAGCGAACAGG